AAUUAACAAAAUUAGUUGUUGUAUCAUAAAUAACAUUACACACUUUUCUAUGCACAUUAUAAUUUAUACACUAUAAUAUCUUUCACUAAAAAUGUAUUCCAAUACAUUUCUUAAAUAUGAAAUCCCUUACGUAUGCGCGGAUCAGAAUCUAGUUAAUUCUUAAAAAAGUUACCAUUUUCUAAUAAAAAAUAAUGAAAAAC
rnacentral:sRNA from 1 species